rnacentral:rRNA from 1 species
GCUGUUUCGCUGACGAGUGGAGGACGGGUGAGUAAUGUCUGGGAAACUGCCUGAUGGAGGGGGAUAACUACUGGAAACGGUAGCUAAUACCGCAUAACGUCGCAAGACCAAAGAGGGGGACCCUCGGGCCUCUUGCCAUCGGAUGUGCCCAGAUGGGAUUAGCUUGUUGGUGGGGUAACGGCUCACCAAGGCGACGAUCCCUAGCUGGUCUGAGAGGAUGACCAGCCACACUGGAACUGAGACACGGUCCAGACUCCUACGGGAGGCAGCAGUGGGGAAUAUUGCACAAUGGGCGCAAGCCUGAUGCAGCCAUGCCGCGUGUAUGAAGAAGGCCUUCGGGUUGUAAAGUACUUUCAGCGGGGAGGAAGGGAGUAAAGUUAAUACCUUUGCUCAUUGACGUUACCCGCAGAAGAAGCACCGGCUAACUCCGUGCCAGCAGCCGCGGUAAUACGGAGGGUGCAAGCGUUAAUCGGAAUUACUGGGCGUAAAGCGCACGCAGGCGGUUUGUUAAGUCAGAUGUGAAAUCCCCGGGCUCAACCUGGGAACUGCAUCUGAUACUGGCAAGCUUGAGUCUCGUAGAGGGGGGUAGAAUUCCAGGUGUAGCGGUGAAAUGCGUAGAGAUCU